rnacentral:rRNA from 1 species
AGUGAACGCUGGCGGUAGGCCUAACACAUGCAAGUCGAACGGCAGCACAGUAAGAGCUUGCUCUUACGGGUGGCGAGUGGCGGACGGGGGAGGAAUACAUCGGAAUCUACUUUUUCGUGGGGGAUAACGUAGGGAAACUUACGCUAAUACCGCAUACUACCUACGGGUGAAAGCAGGGGAUCUUCGUACCUUGCGCGACUGAAUGAGCCGAUGUCGGAUUAGCUAGUUGGCGGGGUAAAGGCCCACCAAGGCGACGAUCCGUAGCUGGUCUGAGAGGAUGAUCAGCCACACUGGAACUGAGACACGGUCCAGACUCCUACGGGAGGCAGCAGUGGGGAAUAUUGGACAAUGGGCGCAAGCCUGAUCCAGCCAUACCGCGUGGGUGAAGAAGGCCUUCGGGUUGUAAAGCCCUUUUGUUGGGAAAGAAAAGCAGCAGGUUAAUACCCCGCUGUUCUGACGGUACCCAAAGAAUAAGCACCGGCUAACUUCGUG